rnacentral:lncRNA from 1 species
CCUUUCUCAUACUUCUGGUCUACCUCACUUGUGUUUCUGUAUCAGCUGAAAACAGAGAGGAUCAGCAAAACUGGAACUGUUCAGAACCACACGUUACCUUCUGUGUGCUGUGAGUGGAGCUCUCAGGCUCAUCAGAGGAAGAUCAGAAUGAACUCCACCACCGUGGCCUCACCUUGCUGGCACUGCAGUUUUACAUACUCGGGUUGAAAGUGCAAAGAGGCAACAGGGAGAUGGAGAGCGCUGACUUCACCCUGCAAUGCACAACACAGGGAAGGUGUCAGGUGUUGCACAGAGCUUCAUGGCACAUCUCCAUACCCAGCUCAGAUGUGUGCUUGUGGAUGAGAGUCUCUGGGUUGAACCCUACCUCAGUUAUGGAGGUCCCAGGCUGUCUGGUAGCAGGAAGAUGCCCACAUAGCUCUUGGCAUGAUUUGUCCCCUUGUUUCAUUAUUUUCCUUCCCUACUCUGACCUAUUAUUAACAGACCCACCUUCUACCUAGUGCUUCUGUUUCCCCUGAUAUAUUUGUAAAAGGCCUCUUAUUCUCCUUAAUCCCUUUGGCUAUAAUUAACUCAUUCUGCAUUUUUGCUGCCCUUAUCUUUUCCCUGCAAGCCUUAACUGACUGAAUAUUCUUGUUUGGUUGCCUCCCUGUUUUCCAUUUCUACUAAAGGUUUUCUUUUUAAUCCUUAGAUCUCUGAGUGGGCUUUUGCACGCUCUUAUUUCUUGCCUUCUUUAUUUACUCGUUUUUUCUAUUUUCCUUUAAUUUUUGUGCCACGUAACGACUCCAUCUUCCUCACAGCCAGGUAGAGUUCAGGACAACCUCAGCUGACACCUCAAGUUCUUAAUUCCUUUCAAUGCAUUUUUCUAUUUUUCUUUUUCCUUUGGUACUACACUUCUUUUUUUUUUUUUUUUUUUUUCAAUGUUCAAUUUGCCCCUUCCACUUUGUAGACUCCCAUGUUCCCUUCUUUCAUCCAGUACCUUUUGUCAUACAGAAAAUGUGCAAAGUAAAAAUUGUCUUGUUUUACUUUGUGUAAAGUUUAUUUUUGACCCAGCAGUGCCCCAAAAUUAGAAGAGCUGAAUGUGCUCUAUCAAGCAG